rnacentral:rRNA from 1 species
CCCGCACAAGUGGUGGAGCAUGUGGUUUAAUUCGAAGCAACGCGAAGAACCUUACCAGGUCUUGACAUCCCGAUGCUAUUUCUAGAGAUAGAAAGUUACUUCGGUACAUCGGUGACAGGUGGUGCAUGGUUGUCGUCAGCUCGUGUCGUGAGAUGUUGGGUUAAGUCCCGCAACGAGCGCAACCCCUAUUGUUAGUUGCCAUCAUUCAGUUGGGCACUCUAGCGAGACUGCCGGUAAUAAACCGGAGGAAGGUGGGGAUGACGUCAAAUCAUCAUGCCCCUUAUGACCUGGGCUACACACGUGCUACAAUGGUUGGUACAACGAGUUGCGAGUCGGUGACGGCGAGCUAAUCUCUUAAAGCCAAUCUCAGUUCGGAUUGUAGGCUGCAACUCGCCUACAUGAAGUCGGAAUCGCUAGUAAUCGCGGAUCAGCACGCCGCGGUGAAUACGUUCCCGGGCCUU